GACGAACGCUGGCGGCGUGCUUAACACAUGCAAGUCGAACGAAGUGGCGAACGGGUGAGUAACGCUUAAUCAACCUGCCCUUCAGAGGUGGACAACAGGUGGAAACGACUGCUAAUACCGCAUACUGAGGGAGGGGAUUGCGUUUGAUGAGCUAUUUGGAGGGGUAACGGCCCACCAAGGCGAUGAUCAGUAGCCGGUCUGAGAGGAUGACCGGUCACAGUGGGACUGAGACACGGCCCAGACUCCUACGGGAGGCAGCAGUGGGGAAUCUUCCGCAAUGGACGAAAGUCUGACGGAGCAACGCCGCGUGAGUGAUGACGGCCUUCGGGUUGUAAAGCUCUGUUAAUCGGGACGCGGUACCGGAAUAGAAAGCCACGGCUAACUACGUGCCAGCAGCCGCGGUAAUUC
rnacentral:rRNA from 1 species